UUGAAAUUUUGCAGGGUUGUUGAAAUCAAAUUUAGGGACUUUACUGACGGGACUCUGGGCUGGCUGCUCUGUUCACUCGUCAGCGCAAGUGGCGUGACCAUGUAAUUGGGGCACGGGGCCGGCGCGGCGCGCUGCGGGCUUGCAGAAUUUUGUUUGUUUGUUUGGCCGCGCGCUGGCGCAGCCACGGGCCGCAGUUACUGGGGCGCGCUGUCGUAACAAGCCGCGCGGUGUGGCCUGCACAUUGGGGUAGAGGGGGGGUAGUCUUCCCAGAUGUUCUAGUUAGUUGUUUAGUAAAUUUGACUUCAAUAACGAGCUUUUGUUAUGGUAGGCGCGGCAGGGCGCGCGAAUUUAAGCGCAAGUGAGUGGUGACUUCAGGCUCACUCAGGCGGAGGCUCACUCAGGCGGAGGCUAUGCGUCUCACCUGUGGUCACGAGUUGUUAGUUCGUUCGUGAUGUAGGAAUUCAGGCUCACUCAGGCGGAAGCUAUGGUCGACGCCAGAGGCCACGAGUCGUUUAAUUUAAGUUAGGUCAUAAUGUAGUCGUCAAGCUUUCGGGCGGAGGCUAUGGCCCUCGUCAGGGGUCACGCGUCAUAGUUUUUAAAAUGUAAUGUUCGUUCGGGAUUUCAAGGGCAGGAGAGGCCCCUACGUUAUUUUUUUAAAGUAAUCGAUCAAGAAAGGCUUUUCGGAAAAUGUGAGUAUGGACUUAUCUUUGUUUUAAUUUUAAGUAUUAAUUAUGAUUUGAGGUAUUCGGAAGGACUAGGGAAGUGUUUAGUGAAGUUCUCUCAUUCUCUCUCUUGUAAGGUCGUUCAAUCGUUAAGGAAGUAAAGAGAUUAUUGUUUUAAAUUGUAAUCCUGCUAUUUAAAUGUUCUUUAAAAUGAUGUUGAGUAUUUGACUUUAAGAAUAAAAUAAUUUUAAUUAAGUAUUAUGUUAUUUUGCAAAAUCUCCUUAGUUCAGCUCUCACCAGACAUCCUGUACGGGAUGACGAACCUAUGAUCCUAGGUACAGUAAAGUAUUUUAUGAAGUUAAGACUAGUUGAUGCCAAGCGAGUUGUUUCUAUGUAAAGAGCUACGAUUCUCUCCCCCCUCCGAAAGUGGAUCGUGACAGAAAUGGUGGAGGCGCCGGGUAGGUGCACGUGACAGAAAUGGUAGAGUUCGCCGGAUAGGUUCUAUUUCUGGAGAGAGAGAGAGGUAGAUUUUUAUGUUUAUUAUUAAGUUAGUUUCAGCUUCUGAUAGCAGGUUAUUAAGAGUUUACUUGAGGAGAGGAUUACGGAAUUUUAGUCUAUAGUGGAGGAAGUCUUUGAGAUUUUUUUUUUGACGUAACAGAUGUUUAUUUGAGGAUACUUGUAAGGAUAAAGUUUAUAGUGAUAAGUUGUUUUAAGUCGUUGAAUUUAUUGUAGAUUUAUAUCGGGGAUUAUUACGUGAGGAGAAUACGUUAUAAGUUAAAUGCUUAUUAGAGAUAAUGCAAGUGGUUUAAUUUAAUUGAAGUUCAUUUUAAGAUUGUAGGUUAAGAGAAUUAUAAUUUAAAAUAAAGUUUUUUGUCGUAAAUAGGAAUUAUUUUCAAGUGAAGUUUGUUUUGUUUUCGUGCGCGUAGGAGACGAGACGUACGAAUUAAAUCAGUCGAGGGAAGGAUAAACGUUAGAAAGGAAUUAAAGAGAAAACGAGAGUUUAUGUAAAAGAGAGUUAUAGAAUUUAUAGUGAUGUUUUGUUUUAAUUAGAAAAAUGUUGAGAGUUGUUUCAGAACGACACGUCAGUGGACGUGGCAGAAUGAACACGUGACGGGGAGGUGCUGAGACCUAGCGGAGAACGGAGGAACCGCAAGCGAGGGUUGGCGCACCUGAUGGAAUUCGGUGACGUCACGGGCUCAUACGGAGACGUGGACAGGCCGUGACCUUGUUUUGAUCAGCUGUACGGUAACUUAGCGAUAAGAAAAUAGACUAUUGGUUUAAUAAAUUUAAAUUUAAGUGUGUUUUAGGAGAAGAGGAACUUUCAGUAUAUUCCUUAAGAUGAGCUGAGCAGCAGUCCAGUUUACAAGAUGACAAGAGUUCGAGAGACAAGAUACAAGAUCACUGAAACAAGAGCCAAGACUGAAGAUUCAAGAGAAGAGAAAGCUGGCAGCCAUGGACUUACAAGUGGAGAUUAAUAAGGUCAUGUAAAGUUAUAUUUUUUUAUGGAAGACAGUAACUGGAGUUUUUUUUUGUUAUAAACAGUCUUUACAGAACUUUUUAGGUUAUAGUAAUGUAAUGGAACUAGUGAGUUGUGGUAGCUGUCAAAAAGAACUAAUACCUUAAGUUUAAUUUUUAAAGUUAAUUUUCUUAAUUUACAGAGGGAUUAGUAGUUUUUUUUAAACCUUAUUUAGGUUGGAAUUUAAAUACAAUAGCUUAUUAUAAAUGUGUACGAACAGUUCAAGUUCACAGUACUGAUAGGUAGGUCAGAUGAUCUUAUUGAUUUUGAUGAUUUGUUGUUUUGAGUUGAUUUUUAAGUGUUGUGAAUUAGACAAUGAAAUAGUUCUGAAAACUUAAAUUAUUUCAAGCUAAGAAAUAGUAAAGUUAAUUGUAACUCAAAGGACACCAGAAUUUAAUUUUUUUUAAUUAGUAAUGUUUGAAAAUUUUAUACUUUACAAGAAAGGUUAUAAACAAACAGAUCGGAUGGAACAAGGAUGCAGUAAAUCACAAUUUCAUUUAGAAUUAUUGAUUAGCUUUUGAGGUUAUGAAGUAAAAGUAAUUAUAGUUUAAAAGUUUGAAUAAAAAAAAAAUGUUUUUUUUUUAUUUGUUUGAAAUAGAAAGUUUAAAAGUUAAUUAGUCAUGAUCUAGGUGGGUGAUGGGGUGGGAAUUGGCCACUCUUUUUCCCUAUAACCUCCCUAACAUGGCCUUCUAUUACAUCUAACAGAAGAAAAAAAAAGAAGAAAAA